rfam:Triticum aestivum genome assembly, contig: Triticum_aestivum_CS42_TGACv1_scaffold_607022_7DL
UCUAAACUCCCUCCGUUCGGAAAUACUUGUCAUCAAAAUGGAUAAAAGGAAAUGUAUCUAGACGUAUUUUAGUUUUAGAUACAUCUCUUUUUAUCCAUUUUGAUGACAAGUAUUUUCAGACGGAAGGAGUAGAAA